rnacentral:lncRNA from 1 species
AAGGGCACCAGAUGCCCAGGGGUUUGGAAUCCGAAGGAAGGCCAGCGCACCUCCAGAUGAGGCACCAUCACGGAAUCUUCCAGAAGCAAAGUGGGGAGGCUGUGAGACUGCGUGGAUCUGAAGGCCACGGAGACAGGAUAAGUGCCAGCCGUCCCCGGCCCCCCAAGCAGUCACGCUGGGCUGUGGCUCCCUCUCCAGGGACCGCAUGGACGGCAGGGCCACAUCCUCUGGUCCCCACCCCGAGAGGCCCCAGCCAGAAGGGGGCCACAGACCCAAGACGCUGCAGGAGGAACGGCACCCAAGCCAAGCACCGCAGUGGGGGAGGGGGCGGAGAGGGGCACCCCCCCAUCAGACCCACUCCUCUGUCUCUUGCCGGAAUGACUUCCCAGCUAAACCGGAGAGCCAUGUGACAUUAUCACCAAGGUAAAUACAUCACUACAGCAGGGGGCAGGUUUAAAAGCUGGUUAUUUAUCCAACCAGCCGGAAACACGGCCGCGAAACCAUCCCCCUCUGACAGGUGAGCGGAGGUGGGAUUGCCUUUCAAACAUGUAUUUACACGUCGCUCAGUUGGGUCAGUAUCUAUUUGAAAGCGCACGUUUUCAGGAGACUUUGUGCAGGGGGAGGGGGCCUGUUGGUCCUGGGCCUGGAGGUUGUCCCCGACGGCAUCCCGAUGACAGCGGCCACCUGUUCCGGAAGAGCUUCCCUCCGGGCAGAGCAGGGUUUUCAGGGACCAGGGCUGUGUCUAGAAACGCAGUUUGGAUUCAUUCAUUACCCGUUUAAAGACCCUCCUGCCACAUGAAGUCUCACCGGAGGGACCAGGGCUGCGACGUUAAGGCUUGAACUUGAGGGCAACGCAGCUCAGCCUGUAACAGGUUCCUUCUGCAUACGCGCCUGGCCCGGGGAGGGAAGGGUGUCUUGAGAACCGUGCCCGGGGCCUGUUCUCAGAGCUCUCCUGGUUCUGCCCACUGGCUAAUUUCUCUUUAAGGAUAAAUAGGCCAGAGGGUGAUUAUUUAUUUAUUUAUUUUGCUUUUUAGGGCUGCGCCCAUGACAUAUGGAGGUUCCCAGGCUAGGGGUUGAAUCAGAGCUGCAGCUGCCAGCCUGCACCACAGGCACAGCCACGCCAGAUCUGAGCCUCAUCUGCAACCUACACCACAGCUCUUGGCAAUGGGGGGCCAGGGAUCGAACCUGCAUCUUCAUGGAUACUAGUUGGGUUCGUUACCACUGAGCCACAAUGGGAACUCAUGCAGACGGUGAUUUUUAAAUACUACUAAAUAAAAUAAAUGCUUCAGACAAGGGAAAUUGGCACAACAUUAUGUCAGCUAUAAUUUAAAAAAAAAAUCUUAAUUCCUCAAAGGCAGAAAGAAUAUUCCAGAAAGUCUCAGACUUGAAAACCUGUCCUGUUAAGAGAGGCAACCAGCCGGUUUCCAGGGUCAGUGCUACAUGCCCCACAGUGGGGCUGGGGCCUGGGGAGUGGGAGAGGGCAGCCUGGCUUCAGGGACCAGGGCAUGGCAACCCCGCGCCCCCCCCCCGCCCACGGGCACCCCUCUACAGCCUCAUUAGCAGCCCCCCUCCACUCUUGGGGCUGUUGUCCUGCUCUGGGAGCAGCGAUGGCUCUUCCCCGGGGUCACGCAGGCAGGAGGCCUGUGCCUUUCUGACAUGUGUCAGGUCAAAUCACCAGCUCUCCUGAAAACAUCUCCCUCAUCUGUCACCCUCGCCUCCGGCCACCUCAUGCCAGCAGUGGACAGAGACACUGACAGCUCCCUAAUGAUGCCAGGCAGGCGCCCCCAUAGCACUGCCCUUCCGGCUCACCAAAGGCCAGCGGGCCCGUCAUCACGAAGGUCACGGUCGGCGGGGCCUGCACCCCUGCUUUCGAACAAAGCACAACCGAAAGCCAGCAGCCAGGGUGGCGUGGCUGGGAGGGAGGUGGACCCUCGCUUUCCCGCCGGCCCAUCCGUUCCAGGCUGCGGAGGAAAAAGGAGGCACCUGCUCCCCAGGGGUCUGCAGCGUGUCAGCCCCUCUGAACUUCUGGUCGACCACCGUGUGCACAGCCCAGCCCGCGUUUUCUGUACCACUGUUGCCCCUUUGGUCUUGUUUAUAUCAUCUUCGCAGCCACGUGGGCCUUUCAAAUCCUGCACCAAGACAGAGACGCACGCUCCAGCCCCUCCAUGCCCCCGCCCACUCCUGAAUGCUCCCUGCUAUUGCACGAGCCGGCCUUCCAGAAGGUUCCUCCACUGGCUACACUGUCCCUGACCCUCACAUGGGCAGCGGAACGGGCACCCAGGUGUCUGCGUUCUGGCAGCUGCUACUGCCGGGCAGACGGGCAGGCCUUCCUUCCCAACGGGGCCCCUCAGCUCACCUCUGCCCCCUCUCUCUUUUGGUGCCCCCACCCCUGGGAGAUUGUGGGACAAGAGGGCAGCAAAAUGAAGAGGCACCGAGUGUGGCUGGGUGCACAGUGAACGGGGGAGAGGGGGGUGCCGGCCCCGAGCAGCCGGGAUGGGAUCAGGUCUCCCCCGGCCCGUCUGGAAGGAUGCAGCAAAAGAUGGCACCCCCAGCAGUGGUGGUGGCUGGACUGAGAACCUUGGUGGGAGGCAACUGGGAGGCCAGGAUGCUGGCACCAAAGCCCUGCAGAAAGGACGAUGCUGAAAAGCAGAGGGGAAGGAAGUGGGAGGGGCUUGGUGGGUGGGGAGUGGGGGACAAAGAGGAAACCCUCUCUGGCCUUACUGGGCCCUGGAGAGGAGCAGAGGGCAAAGGCAGGGCCCUGGCCCCGUCCUUCCCCCAGCCCCAUGGCCCCCCGAGGCAGCCUGGCCCCUCUGCCUCUUGGGGGACCACCAGGCACACCGCUUGGCCACUGCCACUCUGGGUGCCCCACUGAUUUGUUCUAAAGUGGGGCCGAGGGGACCACACACAGCACAGAGGACGUCAGGGAGAGGCUUGGCUGAAACGAGAGCCCUUGGCUGGCCCCCCAGGUCCCCCAGGGCUGGGCACACACCCACGUGUGCAGUCCAGGCUCCAAGCAAAGCAGGGAGCCAGGGCAUUGGUGCCCGGUGCCCAGAUGCUGCCCCUGGGCACACAGAUGGGACUCGCUGUCCAGAAACAUCCUCAAUAGCCCAGCCUCCAGCACGACGCCCUUCUGAGUUCACUGGGCUCCGUCACAGCGAAAUCGACACCCUAAGGUGCCAUCUCUCCUUUUCCCGUUAUUCCUCAGUGCAAUUGGCCAGGAGGAGACUUGCAGUGGAAUGAAAACUGUUAAAAAAAAUACCUGGCCCUGGGAGUUCCUGCUGUAGCUCCGUGCGUUAAGAAUCCGACUAGUAUCCAUGAGGACUCAGGUUCGAUCCCCAGCCUUGCUCGGUGGGUUAAGGAUCUCGCAUUGCUGUGGCUCUGGUGUAGGCCGGCGGCUAUAGCUCUGACUUCACCGCUAGCCUGGGAACUUCUAUAUGCUACAGGCGUGGCCCUAAAAAGCCAUAAAUUAAAAUAAAUAAAUAGCUAAUCCUAUUUUAAAACAUAAAGACACGGCUUCUAAUAUUUCAUCAGUAAGUAAAAUGCUUGCUAUCAGUUUUGUAGACAACCAUUAUUAUUUGAUAAAACUAUUUAAAAUGACUAUUCAGGAGUUCUCAUUGUGGCUCGGUAGGUUAAGAAUCUGACUAGUAUCCAUGAGGAUGUAGGUUCGAUCCCUAGCCUCGCUCAGUGGGUUAAGGAUCUGGCAUUGCUCUGAGCUGCCGCAUAGGUCACAGAUGUGGUUCGGAUCCCACGUGGCUGUGGCUGUGUCAUAGGGCAGCAGCUGCAGCUCCACUUCAACCCCUAGCCCCAGAACUUCCAUGUGCCAUGAGCGUGGCCAUAAAAAAGAAUAGCAAUCCUGAGAAACAAAAACCAAGCAGGAGGCAUAACUCUCCCAGACUUCAAGAAAUACUACAAAGCCACAGUCAUCAAAACAGUGUGGUACUGGUAUCAAAACAGACAGACAGACCAAUGGAACAGAAUAGAGAAUCCGGAAAUUAACCCUGACACCUAUGGUCAAUUAAUCUUUGACAAGGGAGGCAAGAACAUAAAAUGGGAAAAGGAAAGUCUAUUCAGCAAGCAUUGCUGGGAAACCUGGACAGCUGCAUGCAAAGCAAUGAAACUAGAACACACCCUCACACCAUGCACAAAAAUAAACUCCAAAUGGCUGAAAGACUUAAAUAUACGACAGGACACCAUCAAACUCCUAGAAGAAAACAUAGGCAAAACACUCUCUGACAUCAACAUCAUGAAUAUUUUCUCAGGUCAGUCUCCCAAAGCAAUAGAAAUUAGAGCAAAAAUAAACCCAUGGGACCUCAUCAACCUGAAAAGCUUUUGCACAGCAAAGGAAAC